GACCAUCCUCCAAGGCUAAAUACUCCUGACUGACCGAUAGUGAACCAGUACCGUGAGGGAAAGGCGAAAAGAACCCCUGUGAGGGGAGUGAAAUAGAACCUGAAACCGUGUACGUACAAGCAGUAGGAGCACCUUCGUGGUGUGACUGCGUACCUUUUGUAUAAUGGGUCAGCGACUUAUAUUCAGUGGCAAGGUUAACCGUAUAGGGGAGCCGUAGCGAAAGCGAGUCUUAACUGGGCGCUCAGUCUCUGGAUAUAGACCCGAAACCGGGUGAUCUAGCCAUGGGCAGGUUGAAGGUUGAGUAACAUCAACUGGAGGACCGAACCGACUAAUGUUGAAAAAUUAGCGGAUGACUUGUGGCUAGGGGUGAAAGGCCAAUCAAACUCGGAGAUAGCUGGUUCUCCCCGAAAGCUAUUUAGGUAGCGCCUCGGACGAAUACUACUGGGGGUAGAGCACUGUUAAGGCUAGGGGGUCAUCCCGACUUACCAACCCUUUGCAAACUCCGAAUACCAGUAAGUACUAUCCGGGAGACACACGGCGGGUGCUAACGUCCGUCGUGGAGAGGGAAACAACCCAGACCGCCAGCUAAGGUCCCAAAGUAUUGCUAAGUGGGAAACGAUGUGGGAAGGCUCAGACAGCUAGGAUGUUGGCUUAGAAGCAGCCAUCAUUUAAAGAAAGCGUAAUAGCUCACUAGUCGAGUCGGCCUGCGCGGAAGAUGUAACGGGGCUAAGCAAUACACCGAAGCUGCGGCAAUGUCUUUUAGACAUUGGGUAGGGGAGCGUUCUGUAAGCCGUUGAAGGUGAAUCGUAAGGUUUGCUGGAGGUAUCAGAAGUGCGAAUGCUGACAUGAGUAACGACAAAGGGGGUGAAAAACCUCCUCGCCGGAAGACCAAGGGUUCCUGUCCAACGUUAAUCGGGGCAGGGUGAGUCGACCCCUAAGGUGAGGCCGAAAGGCGUAAUCGAUGGGAAACGGGUUAAUAUUCCCGUACUUCUGACUAUUGCGAUGGGGGGACGGAGAAGGCUAGGUGGGCCAGGCGACGGUUGUCCUGGUUCAAGUGCGUAGGCUUGAGAGUUAGGUAAAUCCGGCUCUCUCUAAGGCUGAGACACGACGUCGAGCUACUACGGUAGUGAAGUCAUUGAUGCCAUGCUUCCAGGAAAAGCCUCUAAGCUUCAGAUAGUCAGGAAUCGUACCCCAAACCGACACAGGUGGUCGGGUAGAGAAUACCAAGGCGCUUGAGAGAACUCGGGUGAAGGAACUAGGCAAAAUGGUACCGUAACUUCGGGAGAAGGUACGCUCUUGAUGGUGAAGUCCCUCGCGGAUGGAGCUGACGAGAGUCGCAGAUACCAGGUGGCUGCAACUGUUUAUUAAAAACACAGCACUGUGCAAAAUCGCAAGAUGACGUAUACGGUGUGACGCCUGCCCGGUGCCGGAAGGUUAAUUGAUGGGGUUAGCGCAAGCGAAGCUCUUGAUCGAAGCCCCGGUAAACGGCGGCCGUAACUAUAACGGUCCUAAGGUAGCGAAAUUCCUUGUCGGGUAAGUUCCGACCUGCACGAAUGGCGUAAUGAUGGCCACGCUGUCUCCACCCGAGACUCAGUGAAAUUGAAAUCGCUGUGAAGAUGCAGUGUACCCGCGGCUAGACGGAAAGACCCCGUGAACCUUUACUACAGCUUGGCACUGAACAUUGAACCUACAUGUGUAGGAUAGGUGGGAGGCUAUGAAGACGUGACGCCAGUUGCGUUGGAGCCGUCCUUGAAAUACCACCCUUGUAUGUUUGAUGUUCUAACUUAGACCCGUUAUCCGGGUUGAGGACAGUGCCUGGUGGGUAGUUUGACUGGGGCGGUCUCCUCCCAAAGAGUAACGGAGGAGCACGAAGGUGGGCUAAUCACGGUUGGACAUCGUGAGGUUAGUGCAAUGGCAUAAGCCCGCUUAACUGCGAGAAUGACGGUUCGAGCAGGUGCGAAAGCAGGUCAUAGUGAUCCGGUGGUUCUGUAUGGAAGGGCCAUCGCUCAACGGAUAAAAGGUACUCCGGGGAUAACAGGCUGAUACCGCCCAAGAGUUCAUAUCGACGGCGGUGUUUGGCACCUCGAUGUCGGCUCAUCACAUCCUGGGGCUGAAGUCGGUCCCAAGGGUAUGGCUGUUCGCCAUUUAAAGUGGUACGCGAGCUGGGUUUAGAACGUCGUGAGACAGUUCGGUCCCUAUCUGCCGUGGGCGUUGGAAGAUUGAAGGGGGCUGCUCCUAGUACGAGAGGACCGGAGUGGACGAACCUCUGGUGUUCGGGUUGUGUCGCCAGACGCAUUGCCCGGUAGCUAAGUUCGGAAUUGAUAAGCGCUGAAAGCAUCUAAGCGCGAAGCGAGCCCUGAGAUGAGUCUUCCCUGACAGUUUAACUGUCCUAAAGGGUUGUUCGAGACUAGAACGUUGAUAGGCAGGGUGUGUAAGCGUUGUGAGGCGUUGAGCUAACCUGUACUAAUUGCCCGUGAGGCUUAACCAUACAACACCCAAGGGGUUUUGUA
rnacentral:rRNA from 1 species